GUUAAUUUUUAGCUGUUCAGGUGUGACUGCACCUUUAUUCAGUGAGGACAUACUGGCUGGCACACAUUCAGGUUAAUGGGCUUCAGUGUUGCUUUGCAGUUAACUUUUUAAUGUUCAUAAACCUGGUAUGUGCUGAGGUGAUUUAAAGCAUAACACAGGUUUUUAGGUUUGCAAAUCUGUGAACCUCUGC